GAUGAAGAACGUAGCGAAAUGCGAUACGUAAUGUGAAUUGCAAAUUCAGUGAAUCAUCGAGUCUUUGAACGCACAUUGCGCCCCCUGGUAUUCUGGGGGGCAUGCCUGUCCGAGCGUCAUUGCUGCCCUCAAGCACGGCUUGUGUGUUGGGCCCCGUCCUCCGAUUCCGGGGGACGGGCCCGAAAGGCAGCGGCGGCACCGCGUCCGGUCCUCGAGCGUAUGGGGCUUUGUCACCCGCUCUGUAGGCCCGGCCGGCGCUUGCCGAUCAACCCAAAUUUUUAUCCAGGUUGACCUCGGAUCAGGUAGGGAUACCCGCUGAACUUAAGCAUAUCAAUAAGCGGAGGA
rnacentral:misc_RNA from 1 species